rnacentral:rRNA from 1 species
UACGUAGGGUGCGAGCGUUUGUCCGGAAUUAUUGGGCGUAAAGAGCUUGUAGGCGGUUUGUCGCGUCUGCUGUGAAAAUCCGGGGCUCAACCCCGGACUUGCAGUGGGUACGGGCAGACUAGAGUGUGGUAGGGGAGACUGGAAUUCCUGGUGUAGCGGUGGAAUGCGCAGAUAUCAGGAGGAACACCGGUAGCGAAGGCAGGGUCUCUGGCGAUACUGACGCUGAGGAGCGAAAGCUGGGGAGCGAACAGG